UUAUUUCUAUCUCCUUUGAUCAUCAUCAGUUCAGUCAUCACCACUCAACCAACCCCCGCAAAUAUCCUCUCUCACUCCAGCUCAGCUUGCAAAAGCCCUGCCUCUCUUUACCUGAGGUUUGCUGUCGAUUCUGGUUCUUGAUUUCAUAGUUCAUGACGACGACCACCUCUUUUGGAGCUGCCAACACUGCGGUGUUGAAGGACCCGAAGAUCCAGAUACGGAGCUUUGAUGGUUUGAGGUCUUCAAAUUCUUCACUUGCUCUGACCAGACAUGUGAAUGUGUUUCCUGUUUCUUCUUCCAGACUUUCGCUUAUACGAGCUGUAUCCACGCCAGUGAAGCCACAGACCGAAACUAAGCGCAGUAAGGUUGAAAUAAUAAAAGAACAAAGUAAUUACAUCAGGUACCCCCUGAAUGAAGAGUUGCUGACUGAUACCCCCAAUAUUAACGAGUCUGCUACCCAACUUAUCAAGUUCCAUGGGAGCUAUCAACAGUAUAACAGAGAUGAACGUGGUGCAAAAUCUUACUCUUUUAUGCUUCGAACUAAGAACCCUUGUGGCAAGGUCCCAAACAAACUGUACUUGACCAUGGAUGAUCUUGCCGAUCAGUUUGGAAUUGGAACUCUUCGUUUGACAACCAGACAGACAUUUCAGCUCCAUGGUGUUUUAAAGCAGAACCUCAAGACUGUAAUGAGUAGCAUCAUUCAUAGCAUGGGUUCAACUCUUGGUGCAUGUGGUGAUCUCAACAGGAAUGUCUUGGCCCCUGCUGCUCCAUUUGCAAGAAAAGAUUACCAGUUUGCUCAGAAAACUGCUGAGGAUAUUGCUGCCCUCCUAGCUCCUCAGUCUGGGUUCUACUAUGAUAUGUGGGUGGAUGGUGAGAAAAUCAUGACUGCAGAACCUCCUGAGGUGGUGAAGGCCCGUAAUGAUAAUUCCCAUGGAACAAACUUCCCUGACUCACCGGAGCCUAUCUAUGGAGCCCAAUUCUUGCCUAGGAAGUUUAAGAUUGCAGUCACUGUACCAACAGAUAACUCUGUGGAUAUUCUCACAAAUGAUGUUGGUAUUGUUGUGGUUACUGAUGUAAAUGGGGAGCCUCAGGGGUUCAACAUAUAUGUUGGUGGUGGUAUGGGAAGGACACAUAGGUUGGAGACCACCUUCCCACGCCUGGCUGAACCAUUGGGUUAUGUACCAAAAGCAGAUAUUCUAUAUGCAGUGAAAGCUAUUGUUGUUACCCAACGAGAAAAUGGGAGGAGAGAUGAUCGUAAAUAUAGCAGAAUGAAAUAUUUGAUUAGUUCCUGGGGGAUUGAGAAGUUCAGAAGUGUCGUUGAGCAAUAUUAUGGAAAGAAAUUUGAGCCUUUUCGUGAGUUGCCUGAGUGGGAAUUCAAAAGUUACUUGGGAUGGCAUGAGCAGGGCAAUGGGGUUUUGUUUUGUGGGCUUCACGUUGAUAAUGGUCGUAUUGGGGGGAAAAUGAAGAAAACAUUGAGAGAGAUAAUAGAGAAGUACAAUUUAGAUGUGCAACUGACACCAAACCAGAAUAUCAUCUUGUGUGGUAUUCGCAAGGCAUGGAAGCGCCCCAUCACUGCAACUCUUGCACAAGCUGGAUUGCUGCAACCCAAGUAUGUAGAUCCCCUCAAUUUAACAGCAAUGGCAUGCCCAGCAAUGCCACUUUGCCCACUGGCAAUAACUGAAGCUGAACGGGGAAUACCUGACAUCCUCAAACGGGUUAGGGCUGUGUUUGAGAAGGUGGGCCUCAAGUACAAUGAAUCUGUGGUAAUAAGGAUUACAGGUUGUCCCAAUGGUUGUGCUCGACCAUACAUGGCUGAACUUGGAUUUGUUGGUGAUGGUCCCAAUAGUUAUCAGAUUUGGCUUGGGGGAGCACCUAAUCAAACUGCACUGGCAAGAAGCUUCAUGAAUAAGGUUAAGGUGCAAGAACUUGAAAAAGUUCUGGAACCUCUGUUCUAUCACUGGAAACGGAAAAGGCAAUCCAAAGAAUCAUUUGGCGACUUCACAACCCGCAUGGGAUUUGAGAAACUUCAGGAGUGGGUUGACAAAUGGGAAGGUGUUGUGUCUACACCACCCAAGUACAACCUGAGGCUCUUUGCUGAUAAAGAUACAUAUGAUAAAAUUGAUGAACUUGCGAAGUUGCAGAAUAAGACUGCUCACCAGUUAGCCAUGGAAAUUAUUCGCAAUUAUGCUGCUGCUCAGCAAAAUGGGAAAGGGGAAUGAGGUGUUCAUGUGCAUCAUACAAGAUAUAUUGCUACCGAGCAAAAUGACUAAGUUUAAUUUGAAAGAAUUGUGCCACAAUUAGCAGUUCUAGAUAACUAAGUGCAGAAGCUUCGUCGAAUCUUCUUGUACACUUCUUGAUGGCAACCAUGGUGCAUGAUCACAGUUUUUGCAGAUGUAGAAUCAGCCUUGAUCAACAAUUAGCAGUUCUUUUC